rnacentral:rRNA from 1 species
GUGGGGAAUUUUGGACAAUGGGCGCAAGCCUGAUCCAGCAAUGCCGCGUGCAGGAAGAAGGCCUUCGGGUUGUAAACUGCUUUUGUACGGAACGAAACGGUCCGGGUUAAUACCCUGGGCUAAUGACGGUACCGUAAGAAUAAGCACCGGCUAACUACGUGCCAGCAGCCGCGGUAAUACGUAGGGUGCAAGCGUUAAUCGGAAUUACUGGGCGUAAAGCGUGCGCAGGCGGUGUUGUAAGACAGGCGUGAAAUCCCCGGGCACAACCUGAGAAUUGCGCUAGUGACUGCAAGGCUGGAGUGCGGCAGAGGGGGAUGGAAUUCCGCGUGUAGCAGUGAAAUGCGUAGAUAUGCGGAGGAAUACCGAUGGCGAAGGCAAUCCCCUGGGCCUGCACUGACGCUCAUGCACGAAAGCGUGGGGAGCAAACAGGAUUAGAUACCCUGGUAGUCC